UACGAAGGGUGCAAACGUUGCUCGGAAUUAUUGGGCGUAAAGCGCACGUAGGCGGCAUUGCAAGUCGGAUGUGAAAUCCCUCGGCUUAACCAAGGAAGUGCAUCCGAAACUGCAGUGCUUGAGUACUUAAGAGGAUCGCGGAAUUCCCGGUGUAGAGGUGAAAUUCGUAGAUAUCGGGAGGAACACCGAUGGCGAAGGCAGAUCUCUGGGCCAUUACUGACGCUGAGGAGCGAAAGCGUGGGGAGCGAACAGG
rnacentral:rRNA from 1 species